rnacentral:misc_RNA from 1 species
ACUGUAGGCUCUUUUGCAUCUUAAUUCAUGUUUUGUGGCACUAUCAGACUUACUAUUGGGCUUUUGACCUCAAAAUCAAGAAGUAAAAACAGUUGAAGCCUGAGACGGACCUCAGUCGAGUAUUGGAAAACGGCCUUCGUGACGACCCCGCCUGCGUCCAAAGUAUUGGCAACGGCUGACGGAAACGCGUGUUUCGACGGAAGCCAGUGAAAAGCGACUGCGCCUACAUGUACGUGUAGACGCGUGUUACCACCAGUCGUAGCCAUACAUGUGCAGCUAGCCGCAACUCCAGCCGCUGUUUUUAGCACGCACAUGAGUCGGGCGCAUUGCAGGCUGGCGGCGCGGUCAGUAUACACACGGAAACAGAGGAGAUAUACUUGUGAAUUGUCCAUUUUAGUAACGAUGUCAACCCAAUCUCUUCUGUCGUCAUUAAUUCGUGCCACUAUUCUGUUGCCAUUGUUUUAUGUCAUAAAUGGACAACCUGGCUAUGGAGAGCAGCUGUUUGGUACGUUCCGUUUGAAGGCGUACGGGUCGUUUGGCGAUGUGACUCUGUUUCAUGUUGUCAUGCCUCCACACUGUACUACAGCCAAUUGGGACAUCAGUGUGCUGAAGGACACAUUAGAAUGUCCCAAGACUUCUGUUCACCUAGCAUUGCAGCCAGGGAGCCUACCUGUAACCAACCCCUACAACACUAGUUUUCCUCCCCACAUCAACACCCAGAGCCAGCGUAAUCUCAACUUGUUCACCAUGUCGUCUGCCCAACCUGUCCGCAUCACCUUUUGGACUCCGACGGCUGGUGAUUGGUACCUUGUGGCGUUUUUACCCAGGGGUGAUAACAACAAAAUAGAACAGCAGGGCCUAGGGGGUCACACCUGUCGGUACUUCAUCCAGAUGGGCGUGGCUUACUGGCAGGCGGAGGAUAUUAAAUCUCUUAGCACGCAAACCAGAACAACUGUAGAACUGGCGACAGAAACAAAUUAUACAACAGCUAUGUACAGGUUCUACGUUUCACCCUUGACCAAAUACCUGACUUUCUCCUACCAAAACUGUCAAGUCGGGUCAGAGUUCAAUCAAACUGAGGUCAGCGACCCCUGCCCUGUGGCCUUAAGAGUUGGGCCCGGUGCUCUGCCCAGUGUGAGGACCCCGCCGGUCCUCUGCAAAUCCAACACGUCGUGUUCAGUGCAGUUUGGGGAACCGUUGGCAGACACUUGGUACUACGUCCGUCUUGAUUUGUCAUCGCUGGAUGAACCGACUUCAGCCAAUUUGAGUUUAGGGGUGGAAACACAAAAAUGCAUGGAAGAAAACAUCCAGGUUUUUCCUGUUUCCUCCGAGGACAUGGAAUUGCGGACUUUGGUGUUGAACUCAAAUGCCAGUCUCAUUUAUUCGCCGGUGAAUCCUUCUGAUAACGGCUCUGCCUUCCUGCACCCUGCCUUAGAAGAGAAAGAAUCGGAACCCGAAUCCUACCCUCCGGCGUCGUUCACGAGGGGACUCUACCUCUCCCCUCUGUCCCCCCACCCUCCUCCCGUCUUGUCCAACUGGUGUCCCCCCGUGCUGCCCCUGUCCUCGGCGCAGCUCGGGGGCGCCAGUCCCUUCAAGAAGUUCAUCUGGAACACCCCCAACGCCACUGACGGGUUGCCGGUGUCCCCAGACACACCGGUGGUCGUGAAGUUUGAGCUGGACCUCCCCCAGGACAUCGGAGGCAACUUAGUGAUCAAGGCUGACGUCGCCAACAAGAAGGACCUCCCGGGGCAGGCUUUUGUCACCCUGUGUCUGAGACAAGGUGGCAUACCACCCCUCAAUGGGACAAAUAUAUCCUGUGAUCCAGAGGAUAGCUUGACAUUCAACAGUCAUUCUGCCGAUGCUGCGUUUCCCUGGAUCGUACCAUUUCCUGCACCAGGGGUGUGGUAUCUGUCGUUGGAGUCUUGGUGUAAAUCUGGGGCGGGUGUUGUGCCUUGCAAUGACACCGCUUACGUCCUUCUGGACAUUGGUCUGUACGGAUGCAUCGAUAAUUGUGGGGAAUAUGGUUCCUGCCACAGUGCCAUUGACAUGGGAAUUCUGUACUACUACUGCAAAUGCUCAAGAGGCUACCAAGGCUGGGGAUGCACGGAUGACUCGGAGGCGUGGUCCCAAGCUUACUUUCUGACCAGAGUCCUACUGCUCACGCUCAGUAACCUCUUCUUCAUCUUCCCGUUCAUCCUGGCUCUGGUGCGCCGCCACUUUGUCCCAGCCAUCUCGUUCUUCUGCACGCUGUUCUUCUCGUCGUUUUACCACAGCUGCGAUGCCGACAGCCUCUGCAUCAUGUCCUACAACACCUUGCAGUUCUGUGACUUCUUCUCAGCGUUCAUGUCCUUCUUUCUGACGCUGAUAGCCAUGGCCCGGCUGCCGGUGCCCCUCCGACAUUCCCUAGAGAUCCUAGGUGCAUUUGGGCUGGCCUUGGGAACCACUUACAACCGUUUUAGCCUGUGGGCGGCUGCCGUGCCAGUGGGAGUAGGCAUGGGCGUCUUGCUUAUAUCCUGGGCAAGGCGCUGGUACAAGCGUCGCCGGUGUUACCCAACCACCAAGUGGCGCUGGCUGCUGUUCAUCCUCCCUGGUACUGCCAUCAUCAUCACCGGUCUCUGCCUCUACGCCUUUCUGGAGACCAGUGACAACUACCAAUACGUGCACAGCGCCUGGCAUGUUGCCAUGGCGAUAGGCGUGCUGUUCCUGCUCCCGCCCAGAGAACGGGUCAAAGAGGAAAGCACUGAGAGCAUCGUGCCCGCUGAGGACAGUGCUGCGUACAUACGCGAGAUAGAUAUGGACUUCCAGUAACAACCAGAGGUCACAUGUUGCCUGACGCACUGUCAGGUCUCACCGGUGCACCUGCUGAUAUGGCACCAAACUUGUAAAAUCCAGAGCUGUGCAUCAAGGCGGUGGAGAUAAACUCCUCAUCCAACUCACGCUUGUGGAACCUGGAAUAAUGCUGUACACUUGUGUUCCACAAGGACCCGUUUGCCAGUCAUACUUAUUAGAUAUAUCACUAUGAAUUAAUACACUUAUAAAUCUACCUACCUAUAUGUAGAUGAAUUAGUAGUGUGCUCAGAAUUGGUGUGUGAUAGUGUUAUUUUCAUGCAUAUAGGUAUUGUUGUAAUGCCUGACAGAGGUUCCGUUUCACUUUGGGUCAACAAUGUAUCAUGUGGAGUUUGCUGGUUUUACUGUUUCUGCCAAUGCACCCUGGUAGCCUCAUUCUGAAAGAUGCAGUGGGCUCAGUAACCAAAGUGCUAUAGAGUUUCUGCAUGGCAGCCAUUUUUCUGGUGAGAGCUUUUGUUCCACAGGGAUACAGACGAAUAGACCUUUUGUACUAUCCCUCCAGGACAGAAGCAGUUACCGGAAAGAUGGCUGCCAUGCGGAACCUCUGUAUCAUCAUUAACAGCCACAUGCAUGUUGUAUUUAUUUAUCAAAUAUCAGAUAUAUCUUAAAGAGUAUAUUUGUAUAAAGUUGCCAUUCUGAAAAUCACAUUUUAAUAAGUGCGUAUUGGGGGAAUGGGAAGAUGUUUGGGAAAGUGUGAUUGGAUUUCAACUGUUUUUUGGGGUUGAAAUGUCACUUGGGUAAAUGUUUUAAUUGAGCUGGGGUUGGGGAUGAGGAAGGAAAAGGGAGUACAGCGACUUCUUGGACCAUCUUGAUUGUGCAAUUCUUAUUGGUCGGUGUCUUUAAAGUAUUUAUAUUUGGCAAAUUUUGUCAUAGUUUUGCUGUAAGAAUGCUUCAAAAUAAAAUUCAACCGAUUGCUAGAUUUCAUUACAGAAAGUGUAAUUUCUGUCAAUUUGAGUGCAUUACAUGCACCUUAUCUGGAUCUUCACAAGUACAUGUAAUUUCUGGUUUGUCUUGAACAAGGGACAGAAACCUAAGAAGUAACUGGACAAGUUUUGUGGUCGGUUUCAUGCAUAAUACAUUUUAUUUAUUGACAAGUGGCACUAUAUGUACAUUCACAAAUAACACUUGAUUUAAAAUAUUCAAUAUAAACUUUCCACAGACAUCUGCAAACAUAAAAUAAUGACACUUUUUUAACAGGACACACUUUUGGAACAACUGUCUGUGCUAUGCUGGUAUUACCCAACAGCAUACUUACUUACUUAAAGAAAAUUUAGGUUUAUGCAAGAAUUUUGAAAUUGUGACUACCCUUAGUUUCACAAUCACUUUGUAACAAAUGUAUGAAUGAGAGAAUUAUCUGUAAGUUCCUUCCAUACCAGGAAUUGACAGAACCUGUAAAUUAGAGAAA